rnacentral:lncRNA from 1 species
AGGCUUUUCAUCGGUGGAGUGGAAGAACAAUAGCAGAGAGAGCUGCCCCCAGUGGAAGGGGAGCUAUCGGAAGCCUUGGAUGCCCAGGAGCUGAGGAGGGAACCAUGCUGUGAUGCCAGUUUUAACCACCUGCCAAGUCUGAAAGUGCUAAUUGAGAAGAGAGGAGGUUAUCAGGGGAAUCAAAGAAAUCUGGCCUGCAGUCCCCGGUGCCAGGGAAGACAUCUAAUGAUCUGUGGUCUUCUCCACAUGGUUGACUCCAAGGGGAAGAAACCUGAAGCAAAGGACGUAUUACAAAGAUUUUGGAGAAUGCAUGGAAUAAAGGAAGGACUGAACAAUUAAGCUAUGGGAAGAACUGAAACACAGAAGUUCCAAGACCUCCAGAAGCUGGGGAAUGGAAACAUGCUUUCUAUAGCAUUGCCUAGCGUCGUGCAACUCUGACACUCUCUGUUUCUAUGUAUCUCAAUUCAGGUUUUCCAAUUAUUAGAAGAAUUAAUCUAACUGAACAAACUUGGGUCAGAUAUCUGUAUUUUGAGAGCAUAUAGCUAUGUCCAGGGGACAGAGUAGAAUACAUAGGCUUAUCCUUGGGGUAACUACAUGGAGCUGAGCAACCAUCGCAGUUUGUGU